UACACUCCUGCGGGAGGCAGCAGUGGGGAAUUUUGGACAAUGGGCGAAAGCCUGAUCCAGCAAUGCCGCGUGAGUGAAGAAGGCCUUCGGGUUGUAAAGCUCUUUUGUCAGGGAAGAAACGGUGAAAGCUAAUAUCUUUUGCUAAUGACGGUACCUGAAGAAUAAGCACCGGCUAACUACGUGCCAGCAGCCGCGGUAAUACGUAGGGUGCAAGCGUUAAUCGGAAUUACUGGGCGUAAAGCGUGCGCAGGCGGUUUUGUAAGUCUGAUGUGAAAUCCCCGGGCUCAACCUGGGAAUUGCAUUGGAGACUGCAAGGCUAGAAUCUGGCAGAGGGGGGUAGAAUUCCACGUGUAGCAGUGAAAUGCGUAGAUAUGUGGAGGAACACCGAUGGCGAAGGCAGCCCCCUGGGUCAAGAUUGACGCUCAUGCACGAAAGCGUGGGGAGCAAACAGGAUUAGAUACCCUAGUAGUCCCA
rnacentral:rRNA from 1 species